AGAGUUUGAUCCUGGCUCAGAUUGAACGCUGGCGGUAGGCUUAACACAUGCAAGUCGUGCGAGAAAGUAUCUUCGGAUAUGAGUAGAGCGGCGGACGGGUGAGUAACGCGUAGGAAUCUACCUAGUAGAAGGGGAUAGCCCGGGGAAACCCGGAUUAAUACCGUAUACCUCCUUCGGGAGAAAGAAGGCCUCUCUUUGAAGCUUUCGCUAUUAGAUGAGCCUGCGUAAGAUUAGCUUGUUGGUGAGGUAAAGGCUCACCAAGGCGACGAUCUUUAGCUGGUCUGAGAGGACGAUCAGCCACAUUGGGACUGAGACACGGCCCAGACUCCUACGGGAGGCAGCAGUGGGGAAUAUUGGACAAUGGGCGCAAGCCUGAUCCAGCCAUACCGCGUGUGUGAAGAAGGCCUUCGGGUUGUAAAGCACUUUAAGCAGGGAGAAAAAGUUAUAAGUUAAUACCUUAUAACCGUGAUGUUACCUGCAGAAUAAGCACCGGCUAAUUCCGUGCCAGCAGCCGCGGUAAUACGGAAGGUGCAAGCGUUAAUCGGAAUUACUGGGCGUAAAGCGCGCGUAGGUGGUUUGUUAAGUUGGAUGUGAAAGCCCUGGGCUCAACCUAGGAACUGCAUCCAAAACUAACUCACUAGAGUACGAUAGAGGGAGGUAGAAUUCAUAGUGUAGCGGUGGAAUGCG
rnacentral:rRNA from 1 species